UACGAAGGGGGCUAGCGUUGUUCGGAAUCACUGGGCGUAAAGGGCGCGUAGGCGGCCGCUCAAGUCGGGGGUGAAAGCCUGUGGCUCAACCACAGAAUUGCCUUCGAUACUGUUUGGCUUGAGACCGGAAGAGGUUAGUGGAACUGCGAGUGUAGAGGUGAAAUUCGUAGAUAUUCGCAAGAACACCAGUGGCGAAGGCGGCUGACUGGUCCGGUUCUGACGCUGAGGCGCGAAAGCGUGGGGAGCAAGCAGG
rnacentral:rRNA from 1 species